UACACCUUAAAAGACAAAUCAUACUGUAUUGUACCUUUGUCUAGCUUUGUAUUUUUAUUUGCAAUGUUUUUAUGAUGUGUCGAUGUUAAGGUUUAUUUAAAAC